UCCCAUGAAACGUAAAACAGAAUCGAACAACAAGAAGGCAAAAAAAGCAAAUCGUUUAUAGACUUGUUGGUAAACACCUCACCCGUGCUCAGGAAAAACAAAAUUGAUAAAAAUGAUCCUUCGACUUGGCACUCCAGUCAGUUCCAAUUCGACGGCAGAACCGUGCGAUCGAUUAUUACAACUCGGGCCAACAAUGAAAAAUCAAAUCAUUCUUUUAGUGUCUACUAUGUUUGCCUGUUGCAUAGUGAAUUCGUUUCCCAGCGAAAACAGAAGAUACUGUGGGAAACUGUUGGCACACGUACUAACAGAAGUAUGCAGAGAGGAAUUUCCUUACGACAAGUCGAAACCACUUCGGCAACCAUUCACUGAAGACAACUCAGUUCCGCAGGUAGAAGUCACCACUUCAGAAUCAGCGAUCAGCAAAGUGAUGGUUGUUGAUCAAAAGCGAAUCCGUUUCAAAACGAUCCACGAAUGCUGCAUCCGGCCGUGCAGCAUUGAGCAGUUACGAGAAUACUGCUGGCAAAGUUUCUAGGCUGUAACAAUAGAAAAAUAAGCGUGACUGGUGUAAAGACAUAUCAUAACAAAUUGUUUUUAAUGUUCGUACAUAUACUGAUCCUGGAGUGGAGUUUUGCUGUGACUGUGAACGUCUCAUUUGUUAGCAUACGAAUUACCGGAAAGGAUACUAAGAAGCAAAAAACACUGUUUUUCAAGUGUAAAUAUUUGUAUUUACCUUUGCGGGCACAAUAACAAUUAUAUAAAAAUCUUCACUUCUAAA